ACAACUGUAUGAGGUGUUAGUUGACGAGGCCAAAGGCCAAAUCAACUAUCACAUCAUGAUAGAAAUCAAGACCAAAUAAUCUAAUUGUCUUGUUAUAAGAAUUCUAACUGAAAUUUCCUUCAGAAGAUGAAUUCCAAUUUUAUUUCUCCCAUAUUUGCAGCUGUAUUACACUCUACGCUUUAGAAAAAUUGUACAGACUGAAUUUUCUUUUCAAAUUUGCAGUUUUAAGACAAUGUCAAGAUUUUAAAGUCAUGAAACCGUCAGUGUCUUUCUUUUAGUCUUCUAUGGAAUUUAAUUAUUUAUGUUGUGGGUCAAAAUGCGGAUAUCAACACUAGUUACUCUCAGUCUCGUUCUAAUAUAUUUUAAUGUUCACAGCUCUCCCUGUGUCUCAAAUACAUCUCAGUCACUAAUUACAAUACAAAGGAAAGCUCUUUAUAUAUGCUCUCGAUAAGGUUGCUAAGGAAAUACCAUUCGCUCAUGAAAUUUUGCACAUGAAAGAUCAGGUCUAAAUUCCCAUGGCAUUUCAGCAUCUUAGGUAGGAGAUUGUUCAGAACAACAGUUGCAGGACAUUUUAGUUAGAAAAGUUAUCGAUACGUUCCUCAAUUCAAAUCAAGGACUCGCAAAAGUAAUCUGAGACACCAGUUGCAAGUCACGCCACUCCUCAAUUUUAGCGUGAAAUGCAAAAGAAAACCCUUCAAGCAAGACAAGUCAACCUCUUGCGCCUUAAUCGCUUGCUCAACCACUCUGUGGCCUGAAACCUCACAGCUCACCUAGCUAUUCUACCCUGAAACUCAUGAGGUCAACUUGUGGUAAGUCUAAAGAUCACCUUGAAUAUCAAAUGUAACGUUAAGCAUUUGUCACUCCCUGAUAAUGAUUGUCAUGCUCUAUGUGUUUCUAACAUUACUUCUAAAUUUUCUCCCGAAACUUCAGAAAAAUUUGAAAGCGUCACCAUUUCACACAUGACCUAAAGCCACCGCAUUCUAAUGUUAGUGUACACAAUAGCCCUGCCAAUCAAAUUGUAGCAUUUGCAAAAUCAGUGAUUUUCUUCCCUUUUCUUACAGUGCCCUCUACGGGUACUUGUAAUUGAAACAACACAUCUUUUUCUCUGAGUUUCCAAUAUGGAGCUGUGGAAACACAAAGGAAAGUGUGGAGAGAAUUUGGCAAAGCAUUGGAAACAAUCAGCUCACUGCCUAGGGCUUUGUUCUCCCACAGCCACUGUUGUUCUCACAAACUUUGAUGUGCAUUUCUAUAAGUUGAAGCGGCAAAGAAACAUUGAAAUUUUUUUUUCUUAA